rnacentral:tmRNA from 1 species
GGGGAUGUUUUCUGGAUUCGUCGGGGUUCUGAAAAUGAUAUAAGCAUGUCUUGGUGGUGCAAGUAAAAACACACGAGGUUCUAAAUAACCGGAAACCAAAAUUUACAAUUCGCUGCUUAAGAAAAAGUGCGAGCCAUCUCUAAGUUUUCUUACGACCUAGACUACGGCCCAAAUCAGUAAGAUAUAUUUAUGUGCUGCCACCUUAAGCCCAUAGAUGAAUCAAUAAGGUUAGUCUAGUAGAAAUAUGUCAAUCUAUGUCUGCUAGAUGAAUAUAACUGAUUGACUAAAC